rnacentral:rRNA from 1 species
CGGGGGGGGCAAGCGUUGUUCGGAAUUACUGGGCGUAAAGGGCUCGUGGGCGGCCAACUAAGUCAAACGUGAAAUCCCUCGGCUUAACCGGGGAACUGCGUCUGAUACUGGAUGGCUUGAGUUUGGGAGAGGGAUGCGGAAUUCCAGGUGUAGCGGUGAAAUGCGUAGAUAUCUGGAGGAACACCGGUGGCGAAGGCGGCAUCCUGGACCAACACUGACGCUGAGGAGCGAAAGCCAGGGGAGCAAACGGGAUUAGAUACCCCGGUAGUCCUGGCCCUAAACGAUGAAUGCUUGGUGUGGCGGGUAUCGAUCCCUGCCGUGCCGAAGCUAACGCAUUAAGCAUUCCGCCUGGGGAGUACGGUCGCAAGGCUG